rnacentral:rRNA from 1 species
AUAUGACCUCAGAUCAGACGUGGCAACCUGCUGAAUUUAAGCAUAUUACUAAACAGGGUAAAAUAAACUAACCAGGAUUCCCUCAGUAAUGGCGAGGGAAGAGCCCGGCGCUGAAUCCCCAGCAGGUGCCAUAAAUGUGCCAGCGUCACUCAGGGGGCCCAAGUUCCUUUGAUUGAGGCUCAUCCCCCGGGCAUUGUAGGGCCAUUAACGGCUACCGGCGCACCGGGAUUGGGUCUUUUCGGAGUAGGGUUGCUUGAGAAUGCAGGCCAAAGCGGUUGGUAAACAAUCGAAGGCUAAAUACGGGUGUGAGACAGAUGGCCAACAAGUACUGUAAGGGAAAACUUGAAAAGAACUUUGAAGAGAGAGGCAGGUAAACGGCUGGGGUCCAUGUAGUAAGUCACCCGGAACUGCAGAUCGCCUUGCCAGAACUCUGCCCAGGUGCACCCAGCGCCCGCAGGGUGCAUUUCUUCCAUGUAGGUACACUGCAACCAGCUCCGGUUCAGCUGGAAAGGCCCUGGGGGUCAGGUGGCUCUCUGCUCUAGGGGGGAUGCCCACUAAUGGCGCCAGUGGUCUGUGGUGAUGUCCGUCAUCCACCCGACCCGUCUUGAAACAUGGACCAAGGAGUCUAACACGUGCGCACGUUGGAGGGCCAAACAAAACAUUGUGGUGCAAUGAAGUUGAGGGCUGGUGCGCGCCAGCUGAGGUGGGAUCCUGUCGCCGCCGGCACACGUCUGACCUGUCUUGGCCCGCUCAGUUGGGCAGGUGGCGCAUGAGCGUGGGAGAUAGGACCCGAAGGAUGGAACUAUGCCUAGCCAGGGCGAAGCCACAAGAAACUGAUGGAGGUCAGUAGUGGUCCCGGUGUGCAAACUGGUCAUCCGACCUGGGUAUACGGGUGAAAAAUUCAUCAAACCAUCUAGUAGCUAGUUCCCUCCGAAGGUUCUCUCAGGAUAGCUGGUGCUCGGAAACCCCAGUUUUAUCUGGUAAAGUGAAAAACUCGAGGUCUUGGGGCCGAAACUAUCCCAACCUAUUCUCAAACUUUAAAUGGGUAAGAAGCCUGGCUCACUGGCGUGGAGCAAGGCAUUGAAUGCGAGUGCCCAGUGGGCAGGUUUUGGUAAGCAAAACUGGCACUGCGGAAUGGAACGCAGGGUUAGGGCACCCGAUGCAGACACUCAGACCCCAGAAAACGUGUUGGCUGUUAUAAGCAAGACGGUGGCCAUGAAAGUUGGAAUCCGCUAAGGAGUGUGAAAUAACUCACCUGCCGAAUCAACUGGCCCUCAGCAUUUAUGGCGCUGGAGCAUCGGGCCCAUAUCCGUCCAUCACCGAUGCAGAGAGUCGCGGGAGCUAAGCCGCGAGGAGUAGAAGGGGCGCUGCGGUAUGCAAAGAAGCCCGGGCCAGUGCCUGGUGGAGCCGCUGCAGGUGCAGAUUUUGGUGGUAGUAGUAAAUAUUCAAACAAGAACUCAGAAGGCCGAAGUGCAGAAGGGUUCCAUGUGAACAGCAGUUAAACAUGGGUCAAUCGGUCCUAAGAGAUGGGCGAGUGCCAUUCGGAAGAGAUGGUGGAUGGCCUCCGUUUCCCUCAGCCGAUUGAAAGAGAGUCUGGUUCAGAUCCCCAACCCGGAGUGGCAGAGACUGGCAGCUUCCAGUGCCGUAACAAAAGAUCUCGGAGAAGCCAUACCUAUAUCUGCAGCAAGUCUCCAUGGUGAACAGCCUCUGGCAUGUUCAAAUAAUGUAGAUAAGGUAAGGCAGCAUGCCAGAUCUGUAACUUCGGGAUAAGGAUUGGCUCUAAGGCCUGGGUCGGUCGGCGGAAGUGGGUCUGUGCCACUGCUGGAUUAGGCAUACCCCACCCCCUUCCCACCGCCAGGGCGGUGCCAACUCUGAACGCAAGCCUGGCCCUUCAAAUGGAUCUCCCCAGCUGCGGUCGGCUCUCUGUUACCCUCCUGGUGUUCAGGGCCGGCGUUCUGCCUCGGCCGACACCUAGCAGCUGUCUUAGAACUGGUGCGGAACAGGAGAAUCUGACUGUUUAAUUAAAGCAACGUAUCGCAAAGGCCCACAGUAGGUGUUGACGAGGUACGAUUCUGUCUAGUGCUCUGAAGGUCAGUGAAGAUGAAGAAAUCCAAUGAAGCGCAUGUAAACGGCAGGAGUAAGUGGACUCUCUUAAGGUAGCCAAAUGCCUCACUAUCAAAUUAGUGAUGCGUCUGAAUGGAGGAACGAGAUUCUCACUGUCUCUACCUACUAUCUAGCAAAACCACAGCCAAUGGAAUGGGCUUGGCAGAAUCAAUGGAAAAGAAGACCAUGUUGAGCGUGAUUCUCGUCUGGCACUGUGACGAGACAUGAGGUGUAAAGGAUAAGUGGGAGGACCUCUGGCUGUCUAAUGCCACAUUUUUUCACUUACCCAGCAAGGUGGGGCAGGGGAUGCGAGCCACGUGGGGAUCUCGCUUCUGGCUCCAAGCGCUGCUACGCCCACUGGGCAUGACCAGCUCUGGGGACAGUAGCAGGAGGGAUUUUGACUGGGGCGGUACACGUUAAAACAAUAACUAAGGUGAGCUCAGGGAGGACAGAAGCCUACCACGGAGCAAGGGCAAAAGCUUGCUUGAUCUCGAUUUUCAGUAUGAAUAACAGACUGUGAAAGCGAGAGCCUUACGAUCCUCCUGACUUUUUGGGUUUCAAGCAGGUGGUGUCAGAAAAGUUACUGCGGGGAUAACGGACUGGUGGCGACCAAGCAUUCAUAGCGACGUCACUUUUUGAUCCUUAGAUAUCGGUUCUUCCCAUCAUUGUGAAGCAGAAUUCACCAAGCAUUGGACUGGGUUAACCCACUAAUGGGGAACGUGAGCUGGGCUUAAAUCAUCGUGAGACAGGUUAGUUUUACUGUACUAAUGAUGUGUUGUUGCAAUAGUAAUCCUGCUUAGCAAGAGAGGAACCGCAAUUUGAGACAUUCGGUUUAUGUGCUUUGCUGAGAAGCCAAUGGGGAAUUAUGACUGAACGCCUCAAUUCAGAAUCCCCCCUAAAACGUAACGAUACUGCAGUGCUGUGGAGCCUCUGUCAGCCUAGGAUAGCCGGCCUCUGGGACAGGGCAAAGAGCUGGUUGCCUCAAGUGUGAACAGAAGGAGACCACAUCUCGCCAGUAGUGCACUGC